rnacentral:pre_miRNA from 1 species
CGUGUAUACAUGUAUGUAUACGCGUGUAUACAUGUAUGUAUAUACCUGUAUCCGUGUAUACAUGUAUGCGUAUACAUGUAUGCGUAUACAUGUAUGCGUAU